UGGCUCAGGACGAAACGCUGGCGGCGUGCCUCAUACAUGCAAGUGGAGCGACGAACCAGGCUUCGGCCUGGGGCAAAGCCGCGAACGGGUGAGUAACACGUGGGUAACCUGCCCCGAUGAUUGGGACAACCCGAGGAAACUCGGGCUAAUACCAAAUGUGCUCCUGGCUGUGAUGGCCAGGCGGAAAGGAAGCUUCGGCCUCCGCAUCGGGAUGGGCCCGCGGCCCAUUAGCUAGUUGGUGGGGUAAUGGCCUACCAAGGCGACGAUGGGUAGCUGGUCUGAGAGGACGAUCAGCCACACUGGGACUGAGACACGGCCCAGACUCCUACGGGAGGCAGCAGUAGGGAAUCUUGCGCAAUGCGCGAAAGCGUGACGCAGCAACGCCGCGUGGGGGAAGAAGGCUUUCGGGUUGUAAACCCCUUUCAGUUGGGACGAAGCUCCGUCGGUUAAUAGCCGCCUGGAGUGACGGUACCUUCACAAGAAGCACCGGCUAA
rnacentral:rRNA from 1 species